CCUACGGGAGGCAGCAGUGAGGAAUAUUGGUCAAUGGGCGAGAGCCUGAACCAGCCAAGUCGCGUGAGGGAGUACUGCCCUAUGGGUUGUAAACCUCUUUUGUCGGGGAGCAAAAGCCGGACGUGUCCGGCUGUGAGAGUACCCGAAGAAAAAGCAUCGGCUAACUCCGUGCCAGCAGCCGCGGUAAUACGGGGGAUGCGAGCGUUAUCCGGAUUUAUUGGGUUUAAAGGGUGCGCAGGAGGAUUUUUAAGUCAGCGGUCAAAUAGUGGGGCUCAACCGUAAAAUUGCAGUUGAAACUGGCAGGCUUGAGGACAGUAGAGGUGGGCGGAAGUCGUGGUGUAGCGGUGAAAUGCUUAGAUAUCACGAAGAACUCCGAGUGCGAAGGCAGUUCACUGGACUGCAACUGACACUGAGGCUCGAAAGUGUGGGUAUCAAACAGGAUUAGAUACCCUGGUAGUC
rnacentral:rRNA from 1 species